rnacentral:rRNA from 1 species
AACGAACGCUGGCGGCAGGCCUAACACAUGCAAGUCGAGCGCUCACUUCGGUGGGAGCGGCGGACGAGUUAGUAACGCGUGGGAAUAUGCCCUUCUCUACGGAAUAGCCAUUGGAAACGAUGAGUAAUACCGUAUACGCCCUUCGGGGGAAAGAUUUAUCGGAGAAGGAUUAGCCCGCGUUAGAUUAGAUAGUUGGUGGGGUAAUGGCCUACCAAGUCUACGAUCUAUAGCUGGUUUUAGAGGAUGAUCAGCAACACUGGGACUGAGACACGGCCCAGACUCCUACGGGAGGCAGCAGUGGGGAAUCUUAGACAAUGGGCGCAAGCCUGAUCUAGCCAUGCCGCGUGUGUGAUGAAGGCCCUAGGGUCGUAAAGCACUUUCGCCAGGGAUGAUAAUGACAGUACCUGGUAAAGAAACCCCGGCUAACUCCG